GGGUUUUUGGAAGAUCUUUGAGCCCUGAGGCCAGCCGCCUGGUGAACAAACUCUUGGAAGAUGCAGCUGUGCUGGGUGACUGAGGGAGCAGGGCUUUGAGAACCCUCGCCACGGGGAAUCUGGUGGGACAGCAUGACCUACAGUGCUGGCUUUGGCCAGGACCACUCAGGGGAAACUUCCGGCGCCCCCGGGAUGCUCUGUGCUUGCGGCCGAGGGGACAGAGCAGUAGGAGAGAUGCUUCCUGGACGUGGGCGUGUGGCUCUCAAGGUGACCAUGGGGCUGGGGGAACCCAGAGAGAGGGGCUGCUCGCCCGGCUUCAGGCCUGGGGCUGGCAGGGGUCUUUCCAGAGGGAAAAAAGCCUGUGCUGAGAUUGAAGAGGGGAGAGUGGUGUGUGGGUGGGUAGGAAAGAGCAUUUGAGGCAGACGGGCGGGGGUGGGGAGAACACAGCGGGGUCCGCCCACCCUCGGGCUCACCGUCCAGCACAGCCAGGCGCUGGGGGACUGUCUGUGUCCUGAAUCGGAGAGGGUGGGGCCCAGAGCGCUUGAGCCCCACGGUCCGCCGGGCAGGGGGUGGGGUGUAAGGACCCCCACUCUACCGACCGCAGCUGGGCGGGGGUGGGGCUGGAGUCUGGAGCAGGGAGAGGACGCGCUCUGGGUGCUGUGUUGGCCCCGAGUCUUGGCAUCAGGGGUUUGUUACCUGGGGGAGCCGGAGGGGAGGGGGUGCUGUUCAGUGCAGUCGGCUUCCUGUGAAAGUUCAGCCACCUUAGCAGGUAAUUAAGGCCCGGCUGCACUCAGCCUGGGUGAGAUCCAUAAAGCGAUGAUGUGACAGCCUUAAUUAGCGAGGCCUUUUCUUCAUAAAUACAUAUGGCACUUAAUGAGCAUCAGAAUGGAGCCUGGAUUUGCAGCCACUGCUGGCCGUGAGUCUCGCGCACAGGAGGAAGCAAGGCGACUCUCCCGGGAAGCGCGUCUCCCUUCAGCAGCCCCGCCUGUGCCUGGGAUCCUGGGCCGGACGGCUCACUGCAGACUCCUGGCCUCGGGGUCCUGAGCUCCCGAGACCCGGCGCUCUCAUCUGCCAGAAAGUGAGGCAACAAGCGAGUGGAUCGGCAGGAACCAGCUUGGCCCCUCUGGGUGCUGCCCGUGGUCAUUUCCUGCCGUCUCGCAGCGUGGGGACCUGGGGAGCAGGGUCGGUGUCACUCACGGUGGUGGGCAGUGAGCGCCGGUCUGCUGAUGUCACCGGUGUUGGGGGUGAGGAGGCACAGUCCAGGCGUGAAGGCCUUUCUGGUGGCUGGCAUCUCGGCCCGGACCCCCUUCCGGCCAGGCCCAGCACUGUCCUGCCUGAAACCCCAGCCUCUCUGUGCGGGAGGCGCCCCAUACCUACGAGGGGCCGCCCGCCUGUCUUGCCUCCAGGAUCCCGGGCGAGCCUGGUAGUCUGUCCUCACGACAUCAGCUUCGACUAAACCGUGAACUUCCGUGCCAUCAGAGGUGCAGCCUGAUGGGGACCAUGUCCGGGAGCUGCCUCAUUCAUCAGCGGGUACAGCAAGGUGGCCCAUCCGUCCCGUGGAAAGACAGACAAGGCGCUCACCUGAGCUACAGCACGGAAGAGUCUUGAAAACGUGGUGCCGACAGGAGGAAAAUCAGCUUCUGGCGACCGUGAGAUGAACUCACGGGCAGGACGUUCGCCCCCUACCUCCCCAGGAUGGACGGGACUGGGAGUCUCUGGAAUCAUCCACGCUGGAGUCGCCUCGGAACCUUCGGGAGGCCGGAAACAAGAGAUUCGAGCUGAGUGUCCGGGAAAGACAAUCCGCCAUGGAAUGUGCCGGCCAGGUGGAAGGACAGGAAGCUGCCCAGGAGCCGGCGGGCCCACUCACCCACCCAGCUCAGGUCAAGCCUAAGUCCUGCACAGGUACAUGUGAUCAGGGGAAUCUACAGCUCAGCUUGAACUCAAGCUGCAAAGGGUUCUGGGAAAUGUAGUUCUUAGCGUUGCAGCUUCCAUAGUCCAGGAAGGCGUGCUCCGACUCUGAACAGAUGGAGAGAGCCAGCGCCCCGUGGCCACACACAGCCCAUAAUCCCUGGACACUGCGCUUUCCAAAGGGUGGCAUGGGCUAUAUACCACGUUGUCCUGAUCUCCCACCCUGCCGGAGCAGGGGGGAAGUUGGCCCCUGAAACUCAGGACAGAAGGUAAGAGGUUAGGGCUGGACUGGUGUCAGCAUCUUAGCUAUUGCUCACUCCUUAGCACUGGGAGCUUCUGCGACCUAUCAAGUCUGCCAUAAACUCACGGGAUGCGGAUUUUGUCACUCGUA